rnacentral:rRNA from 1 species
AAUCAACGCUGGCGGCGCGCUUAACACAUGCAAGUCGCACGAGAAAGGGAGCAAUCCUGAGUAACGUGGCGUACGGGUGAGUAACACGUGGGAAUCUACCUCUUGGCGGGGAAUAACCCUGGGAAACCGGGGCUAAUACCGCAUAAGCUCGUGAGAGGAAAGCAGCAAUGCACCGAGAGAGGAGCCCGCGGCCGAUUAGCUAGUUGGUGGGGUAAUGGCUCACCAAGGCGAAGAUCGGUAGCCGGCCUGAGAGGGCACACGGCCACACUGGCACUGAAACACGGGCCAGACUCCUACGGGAGGCAGCAGUGGGGAAUCUUGCACAAUGGGGGAAACCCUGAUGCAGCGACGCCGCGUGAGCGAUGAAGCCCUUCGGGGUGUAAAGCUCUUUCGACAGGAACGAUAAUGACGGUACCUGGAGAAGAAGCUGCGGCUAACUACGUG